UAUGCCCUCCCACACGCCAUCCUGCGUCUUGAUCUUGCAGGGCGUGAUCUCACAGAUCACCUCAUGAAGAUCCUCACAGAACGAGGCUACUCUUUCACCACCACAGCCGAGCGGGAAAUUGUUAGGGAUGUGAAGGAGAAGUUGUCUUACAUUGCUCUUGACUAUGAACAGGAAAUUGAAACAGCAAAGACCAGCUCAUCUGUUGAGAAGAGCUAUGAGCUUCCUGAUGGACAGGUUAUCACCAUUGGUGCUGAGCGAUUCCGCUGUCCAGAAGUGCUGUUCCAACCAUCAAUGAUCGGAAUGGAAGCUGCUGGUAUUCAUGAAACCACGUACAAUUCCAUCAUGAAGUGUGACGUUGAUAUCAGGAAGGAUCUGUAUGGAAACAUCGUCCUCAGUGGUGGUACCACAAUGUUCCCUGGUAUUGCUGAUAGGAUGAGCAAGGAA
rnacentral:misc_RNA from 1 species